CCAGCCUUGGCGGCAGCAUGCUGCUCGUAGCCGAGCCCAGUGGUGCCUAGCGAAACCUCAGCCUCGCCAAAGCUCAAACCUACCACACCUAUACUAUCCAGGAGUCAGUGUUACACUGAAGGAUACUGCGAGUCUCCUAUUACUUUGACUCCGGGAACAAUGCCAGCGACGACCACCUGCAGGCAGACGCCAAGGAAGCCCCCAGACAUCAACUACAAACUUUACAGAUUUACCCAUCCUGCGCCCCGCCCCCUUCCAAGAUCAUCAGAUAGCGAGAUUCCUGUAAGACACGACCAGUCCCACGCCAGCCUUGGUAGCAGAAUGCUGCUCGUAGCCGAGCUCAGCGGUGCCUAGCGAAGCCUCAGCCUGGCCUAAGGCUAACCCUACCAUACCUAUACUCUUACAGGAGUCAGGGUUACACUGAAGGAUCCUGCGAGUCUCCUACUACUAUGACUCCGGGAACAACAACGUCAGCGACGACCACCUGCAGGCAGACGCUCAGUUUCAUUGAAACGGUGAUAUUACCUGAUUACACCUCUAAUUUAUAGACGAGUCUUGGGUAUGAAGUAUUCAAUAUGGUCUCCUUCAGCGCCUUCAGCAGCCAGCACAUCUGCUCGUUCAUUCCCACAUAUUCCAACAUGGGAGGGGAUCCACAGAAACUUGACGACUCUUCCCUGGUUGUGUUGACUGCAGUAUGAAAGCCUCCAUUCCUUUCCGCGACUGUUACUUCUAGUAAGGGCAGCUCCCCAUCACUCUCCGUCUCAUAAGUGAAACUUAACACUGGAUUUUGCUGGAAUGCCUCCUUCUACGUCUGCAAAUGUCCGACAUCAGAUUAUGUACAAUCGUGGGUGCUGUGUUGGUGGGCGUGGUGGUGACGGCGGCUUCCAUGUUCACCAUAUGCAGUUCCUCUAUGCCAGCGACACAGGCAUCCCAGACGACUUUGAACUGCACUACCACCAGUGUCCCUUGUACUGUUGAUCAUAUGAAACCUAAGGAAAUUUAUUUUAAAAUUUCAACGAUGUUCGAUUUGUUAUAUAACAACUGUCAUCACAUUGACUGGCUAGAUCAUAGUUCACUUGUGAAGGAAUCUGGGAAGCUUGCUUACUUCUCCAUCAGGAGAUGCAAGGAGGAACUAAACCCUUGCCCAUACGACUCACAUCAUUCAGAAGAAAUGAUGCUUGUUGUAAAUCGGCGGCAGAAUAAAACAGUGAAUAUGAAAAUUGAAAAUGAAAAGGAUAAUUCUAUAAUAAUGCUGGCAGUGACUUUCGAGGAGGAUAAACAGUGCGGGUGUGUAGGCAGUAGUGUUUGGAAUAAAAUGCCCAAGGACAAGAAGCCCUCAAACACGUCUGUUCCCUGUGUGUACAGUGUGUACACAGUGGUGAAUACCACUGACAAACAACUCAACCUCAACUGCACUACUUGCUCUGGGCAGUAGGCAUUGACAGUACACAACUAACAACUUGGUUUUUCACGUUUUUAUGACGUAUUCGAACUGUGCUACAACUUGCUAUAUUCUUUCUUACAACUUGUUAAGAAGUGUUAAAACUGGUUCGAACGUUGUAGCAACGUUGUCGUUUCGUCGUGUCUUUGGCGGGAUACUGUUUCUCAACCAAUUGAAUUAUUUAUUUACCAAUGUAUUUACUUUAAAAUUAUUUAUUUACAUUUCAUUUAUCUAGUUAUUAAAAAGUUAUAUUAUUUACUUACAAAUGUUAUUUAUAAAAGUUUUACUCAUUUACAUAUUUAUUGCAGAUCUACGUUAAAGUAUUUCGCAUUAUCAACUUAAUAUUUCUUACUAACACCGCUCUUAACUAUGGAUACUCUUUAUGUUGUAACAAAUUUACUGAAACAAUCUUUAUUUAACGUUUCUUAUCUAAAAUCACUCUUCAUUCAACUGAAAAUUGUCUAGUGUAUCUUUUUCGCAUCAUUUCUUAAUUAAAAUAACUUUUCUUUCACUCAAAAAACUAGUAAAAUGAAUCGUUCAUAACGUUUCUUAACUAACAUUAUGAUUUGUAAAGUAAGAAAAUCGUCAAGGGGUAAAAUUCUUCAUAUUUUUCUAACCUAAAGCUACUCUCUGAGACACAUCAAAGGUUACUCUCCAAGCUAUCAAGGAUAUUUUUCAAGACACUCUCCAUGUUCUUUUUAUGUAAGAAUGGUACAUUCAAAGACAUCAAGGAUACUCUUCGAGACAUCUUUACACAACAAUUGUUCAUUCUGAAACAUCUUCAUGCAUUAAAAGACACUCUUUGUGAUGUAUUUAUGUAACAAAGAUACUCUCAGAUAUAUCAUGGAUGCUAUCCAAGACACUCUUCAUGUCCUCUUUAUGUAAGAAGAAUGCACUUAGAGACAUCAAGGAUACUCCCCGAGACAUCAUUGUGUAACAAUUAUACACUGCGAGACAUCAUCUUGCAUUAAAAGUCACUCUCACUGACGUCUUUAAACAUCAACGGAUACUCUCUAAAACAUCUUCGUGCAGUAAAUGAAACUCGUUAAAACAUCAGAAAUACAUUCUGAGAUAUUUUUAUAUAACCUUGGUACUCUCCAAGGCUUCUUUAUGUAACAAGGCUAGCGUCUUUGUGAACUAAAGGAUGGUCUCCAAAACAAUUUUAUAUCAGCAAGGUUACUGUCCAGAACAUCUUCACGCAUUUACGGAUACUUUCCAGGAUGUAAAGUCAUUACAUCCAACAUCUUAAGACAAUGUUGACCAGACCACACACUAGAAAUUGAAGGGACGACGACGUUUCGGUCCGUCCUGGACCAUUCGUCC